rnacentral:rRNA from 1 species
GACAGAGGGGGCAAGCGUUGCUCGGAAUUACUGGGCGUAAAGGGCGCGUAGGCGGGAUGGCAAGUCGGUCGUGAAAUCCCUCGGCUCAACUUGGAGACGCCACCCGAUACUGCUCUGACUUGAGUUCGGUAGGGGAGUGGGGAAUUCCUGGUGUAGCGGUGAAAUGCGCAGAUAUCAGGAGGAACACCGGUGGCGAAGGCGCCACUCUGGGCCGAAACUGACGCUGAGGAGCGAAAGCGUGGGUAGCAAACAGG